CAGUCGCCGCGGGAAUACGGAGGGAGCUAGCGUUGUUCGGAAUCACUGGGCGUAAAGCGCACGUAGGCGGCUAUUCAAGUCAGGGGUGAAAGCCCGGGGCUCAACCCCGGAACUGCCUUUGAAACUAGAUAGCUUGAAUCUUGGAGAGGCGAGUGGAAUUCCGAGUGUAGAGGUGAAAUUCGUAGAUAUUCGGAAGAACACCAGUGGCGAAGGCGACUCGCUGGACAAGUAUUGACGCUGAGGUGCGAAAGCGUGGGGAGCAAACAGGAUUAGAUACCCGCGUAGUCCCUGUCUCUUAUAC
rnacentral:rRNA from 1 species